rnacentral:rRNA from 1 species
UACAGAGGGUGCAAGCGUUGUUCGGAAUUAUUGGGCGUAAAGCGCGUGUAGGCGGCUUUGCAAGUCGGGUGUGAAAGCCCUCAGCUCAACUGAGGAAGUGCGCCCGAAACUGCAGAGCUUGAGUGCCGGAGAGGGUGGCGGAAUUCCCCAAGUAGAGGUGAAAUUCGUAGAGAUCGUAAGGAAGGCCAGUGGCGAAGGCGAGUUCCUGGACAGUUACUGACGCUGAGGCACGAAGGCCAGGGGAGCAAACGGG